GACUAUUGGGUUGAUAGGCCUUAGGUGUAAGGUCCGCAAGGAUUUCAGCCGAGGGGUACUAAUAAGCCGUAUGAUUUUCCCACA
rnacentral:rRNA from 1 species